rnacentral:rRNA from 1 species
AGCGAACGCUGGCGGCAGGCUUAACACAUGCAAGUCGAACGCAUCCUUCGGGGUGAGUGGCAGACGGGUGAGUAACACGUGGGAACGUACCCUUCGAUCUGGGAUAACUUCGGGAAGCUGGAGCUAAUACCGGAUACGCCCUUUUGGGGAAAGGUUUACUGUCGAAGGAUCGGCCCGCGUCUGAUUAGCUAGUUGGUGGGGUAACGGCCUACCAAGGCGACGAUCAGUAGCUGGUCUGAGAGGAUGAUCAGCCACACUGGGACUGAGACACGGCCCAGACUCCUACGGGAGGCAGCAGUGGGGAAUAUUGGACAAUGGGCGCAAGCCUGAUCCAGCCAUGCCGCGUGAGUGAUGAAGGCCUUAGGGUUGUAAAGCUCUUUUGUCCGGGACGGUAAUGACGGUACCGGAAGAAUAAGCCCCGGCUAACUUCGUG